rfam:Triticum aestivum genome assembly, contig: Triticum_aestivum_CS42_TGACv1_scaffold_094706_2AL
UCAAUGCGAUGAUGAAUUAUGAAUUUUCGCAUGUCAGACUUCAGAGACGCCUCUGGCGUCCAUGAGAUGACAUAUCAUAUGACUGAGCAAUGA